rnacentral:rRNA from 1 species
UACACGCUGUGACUAGCAUAUCAAUAAGCGGAGGAAAAGAAACUAACAAGGAUUCCCUAGUAACGGCGAGUGAAGCGGGAAGAGCUCAAAUUUGAAAUCUUCAAGGUUUUACCUUGACGAAUUGUAGUUUAAAGAAGUGUUUUCUGCUGAAGUUUUGGUAAAAGUUCUUUGGAAUAGGACAUCAUAGAGGGUGAGAAUCCCGUAUUUGACCAUUAUUUUCAGCUUUGUGAUACACUUUCAAAGAGUCGGAUUGUUUGGGAAUGCAGUCCAAAAUGGGUGGUAAAUUUCAUCUAAAGCUAAAUAUUGGCGAGAGACCGAUAGCGAACAAGUACCGUGAGGGAAAGAUGAAAAGAACUUUGAAAAGAGAGUUAAACAGUACGUGAAAUUGUCAAAAGGGAAGCGUUUGACACCAGUGUUGUUUUUCUGAAAAUCAAUUAAAGAACUGUUUAUGCUAAGCUGUUUAGACUUUAUCAGCUAACUGUUUAGUUUUGAGCUUUUCUUUAAUGCACUUUUCAGUUAACAAGUCAACAUCAAUUUCUUUUGCUGUAAAAAAGCUUGAGGAAGGUGGCUUGAGAUUCGUCUUAAGUGUUUAUAGCCUCUUGCCUAUGCAGUCGGAGAGAUUGAGGUCUGCAGCGUAGAUCCUUCGGGGCUAAAUGCAUUUGUGCUAAGUUAUCAGCAUUUUAUAGACAACUUGUUGACUAUGAUUUGUCUUGUAGCUUACUCGCUUAUGUUAUUUUACCUACGCUUAGGAUGUUGAGCGCAUGUCUCUCUCU